rnacentral:lncRNA from 1 species
CCACCCGGCCUACCUCCCAUUAUCUGGGCCCGGGUUUCUAUAAAACAGGAGAGCUCUCUGCAGAGAACAAAAGAAAACUGGACGGAACUCGAACGUAAAUCCAACCUUGUGGUUACAAUUACGGAGGCCCACCCAGGCCAGCACUGCGCGGAACCCUUCAGGCUUCUCUCGGGCUCUCCCAAGACAUACUGGCAGGCUGCAGUGCUACCACUGUGGUAAGGGACAAGGAAACUGAGGCUCGGUGGGAUUCCAGGACUUGCCCAAGGUCACACCAUCCUUGAGGGGUCGAGCUGGCACUGGAACCUCAAUCCGGCCACUACAACUUCAUAAACACCAUCGCCCUGAGAUGCCAAAAUCCCAGGGCCGCCCCCGCCCCCAGACCAGGUGCGUGUAUUGUUAGCAUCGAGAAAACAACUUCAGCGCCAGUGAAUUAUCGACUGUGAGCCUAUUAUGAACCAGAAGGCAGGUUUCAUUCACUCCCUUAAGCCAUACAGCCUAUGAGGUGGGGAAAGAUGCAACAUCCAUUUGCCAGAUGGGAAAACUGAGGCUCAGAGACAGUAAGUUACUUGCCCAAGGUCACACAGCCAGGAAGCAUCCAACCAGGACAGGAACCCAGGCAGUCUGCACCGAGUUCCCCCCAAAACUGCAGCUCCUUCUCCCGUCAGUCUCAUGCUUGUGUAGACCCCACUGUUGCCCCAUUUUACAGACGAGGAAAUUGAGGUCUGCAAAGGGGAGGCGACAUGCCCAAGGUCACACAGCACAGAAAGGACGGAACCAGGACUCAAACCCAGGUCUGUGGCAAAGGAGCAACACUGCCUGGAAGCCCAGCCCUCUCCCCUCCCCAGCCUGGGCUCGGAGGUCCCCAGGAGCCAUUCCCGCCACCUCCCUGCGGCCGCAGCGCACCCAGACCUCGGGACAAAUCGCUCCCUCAUUCCCCCAGCUUGCAACUAAAGGCUCCUUGUGAGCUCGGGAAGCCCUUCCAACUUUCCAGUGUUUAUCCCGGCUGCUCACUGCCAAGUCCCUGGGCAAGCCUGGGCCGGUGGCGCUGAUUUCAAACCAGACACGGGCACCGAGCCAAGCGCCACCUCGGUGGGGAGCCGGGCGCCGGGGCCGGGCUGCAGCGCUGCCUGCACCUGGCUCUCCCCUGCCUGAGCCCACCCCGGCGCCCCAGGGCAGAGCCUCGGGAGCACCCACCAUCACACACCCUCCUGAAGUCAACUCCGGAACAGAAGCCCCCUGAGUCCCCAAGGCUCGCCAUGCUCCCCGGCAGGGACGCCGGAUGUGCACCAAGGCUCCGGGAGAGGAGCCUGGUGCCCCCCCAGGUCCCCUCCCACGCGGGCUGGCCAAGAAGCCUCUCCCCGGCCGGCCGGGCCAGCGCCUCGGAGCGCUCUUUUCUGUG